rnacentral:rRNA from 1 species
UACGGGAGGCAGCAGUGGGGAAUAUUGCACAAUGGGCGCAAGCCUGAUGCAGCCAUGCCGCGUGUAUGAAGAAGGCCUUCGGGUUGUAAAGUACUUUCAGUCGUGAAGGAAGGUGUUAAGGUUAAUAACCUUAGCAAUUGACGUUAGCGACAGAAGAAGCACCGGCUAACUCCGUGCCAGCAGCCGCGGUAAUACGGAGGGUGCGAGCGUUAAUCGGAAUUACUGGGCGUAAAGGGCACGCAGGCGGUUAAUUAAGUUGGAUGUGAAAUCCCCGGGCUUAACCUGGGAAUGGCAUUCAAGACUGGUUAGCUAGAGUCUUGUAGAGGGGGUAGAAUUCCAUGUGUAGCGGUGAAAUGCGUAGAGAUGUGGAGGAAUACCGGUGGCGAAGGCGGCCCCUGGGACAAAGACUGACGCUCAUGUGCGAAAGCGUGGGGAGCAAAC